CUCAAGGCAACGAUGGUUUCUAUCUAUCAGGUGGCUAUUUUGAUUUUUCCCAUUCGAUAAAUACCGAUGAAUCAUCUCAGAAAGAUGACCAAACAUUUUUAGGUUUUAGACAUAAUCGCCGUAUUCGUCGAAACUCCUCGCCAAAACCAUUGCGUCCUCUUUCACCUGUAGCAUUUGGCGCUUCGUCCGAAUGCUGCACCGAUCUCUCGGCUCUCUCUAUGUCCAAUCAAAAUAGCUCGUCAAUUCUCAAACAAACUUCUUUUUGCAUCUCGUCUAUGCCUCCUGCUCCAGAAAUCCAUUUUUCUCUGUGGCCAUACUCGAUGAAACUCCACGUGCCGACGCUCACCUCGCGCCUUUUUCGUCCAGCAAGGACUUUUAUAACCUCCGAAAAAUCGGCAUCUUGUUCCUCCCGCCUUAAAACUUAUUUCUCAGGAUCUAUGGAAUCUCUAAAAUACUAUCAAAGGCAUCUCAAACGCAGACGAGAAGCAAGGGUGCUUUUAGACAGUACUGCAUCUUCAAUCUUCUCAGGCUGUUCUGUAUCUUCAAAACACGCCCUUUAUGGCAAUGUUCAUCGAACAAAUUCCCCUUGUAACUUCGUUAAAUCACCAAUUUGUCACGCUAUACCAUCACAACUUAAAACUCCAAACAAUCUUUCUUCUCAACUCAAAAUGACUCAAGCCUGCUUUUCUCGCCGCCUCAUUCCCAAUACUCCCGCACUUAGACUACCUCUAUCUGGGCAGCGUUCCUCCAAGUGAAUACCCAUCUUAUCAAUUUUUACUAAGGUGUGUGGUAUGCACCUCCCAUCUGCUCAUAGAGGCAAGAAAGUAAAAGCGCACUAGCUUCUUUCUUCCAGUUACCUCGAAUUUUCGUGUACACUUUUUUUUUAAGUCGGUCAUCGCGAUCCACUUUUCGUCAUUCUGUCCUGUGCCUCCAGGAACUGGCAACCUAAAAUGUCAACAUGAAGGCCGAGGGUAUGGUCUCCAACUACUCAUCCACAGAAGAUAAGUUACCAAACCCGAACAAUGCUGUACUGAAAUUUCGAAACUAUUUGCCUAAAAGCCGAUAUUUGCUCGAACACCAUAUGCGUCCUCCGCCACCGGACUUGGUUUCCGAAAAGCUAGAAUAUUUCGAAUCUCCUGCAUACCAGAAGUUGCAACAAGAGGAUGACCAGAUAUUGCUGAGUUCGGCGCCCCAAAAACUCAAUUGGGAUCUUCAAAGGGAUCUCGAGCCCAAACUCGUACGCCUUAAUCAACUCACGCAAAAUGCCAUUUCUUCCAUGUUAAGGGAGAAGUUGGCUAAUAAUUCGAAAUAAAGUUCU